rnacentral:sRNA from 1 species
AAUCUAAUCAAUCCAAUUUGAGAGAGAAGUCAUAACUUUUUUAACACAUUGUUGACUUAAGUAUCUUCUAAAGAUAUAUUCAAAUCAGAUUUAUUUUCUAACUAUAAAUUACAAAAAUGUUAAUUAAAGAUUUCUAAUGUUGUACUCCCUCCGUCCUACUAAGAUGAAUUUUUUAGAAAUUUCACAUUCUUUAAGAAAUAUUGUAUAAAGACAAUUUUAACCUCUUAAUAUACUUUAAAAAUAAUAAUAAAUAUUUAUCUAAUUAUUUAGUAAGGGUAAAACAGGAAAAAAAAGUUUAUAACAUUAAGAAGAUUUGAAUAACAUUAAAAA